AGGGGUACUCGAGUGGCGAACGGGUGAGUAACACGUGGGUGAUCUGCCCUGCACUUCGGGAUAAGCCUGGGAAACUGGGUCUAAUACCGGAUAGGACGAUGGUUUGGAUGCCAUUGUGGAAAGUUUUUCGGUGUGGGAUGAGCUCGCGGCCUAUCAGCUUGUUGGUGGGGUAAUGGCCUACCAAGGCGUCGACGGGUAGCCGGCCUGAGAGGGUGUACGGCCACAUUGGGACUGAGAUACGGCCCAG
rnacentral:rRNA from 1 species